AAAAUGAGAGAAUAGAUGCAAGCUCUUAUCACCGGAAAAUUUCACCGCAUGACAUAAAUCAUGAAAACAGGAUGUAUUUCAACAAGGAAGAACACUGAGAAAACUAUUUAGCUGAACAGUAUGGUGAAAGCCUUGAAGUCCUGAGGAGCAUCUAUCCUGAAAACCAUGAGGACAUUGUGAAGGCGGAAGCUUAUAGCCCUGGAUGACUGAUUGGAUGAGAAGUGUGAAGGAGAGGGUGCAGAGAUAACCCUGAGGUUUCUUGACUGGAUGACAAGGAAAAUGGUCAUGCUACUAAGAUAAAUAAGAAAACCAAGAGAAAGUCCAGGCAGGAGAUCAUUUGAGCCCAGGAGUUAGAGGCCAGCCUGGACAACAAAGCGAGACCCUCUACAACAAAAAAAAAAAAAAAAAAAAAAAAGCCAGGCGUGGUGGCACAUACCUGUAGUCCUAGCUACUCAGGAGGCUGAGGCAAGAGGAUCACUUGAGUCUAGGAGUUCCAGGCUGCAGUAAGCUAUGAUCUCACCACUGCACUCCAGCCUGGGUGACAGAGUGAAACCCUAUUAAAAAAAAGAAAAGAAAAGAAAAAGAAAAUCAAGAGAAAGAGGAGUUGCAUCACAAAUAUACUCACAUUCCUAUGCUGAUAUGUAAAGAAAAUGUAAUUUCUUUAUUUCUCCAUAACCAACCAAAAUUUUCAAGUGAGAUCCCAUUUUCUGGGUAACAGGAAACUGUACUUGGGCUUUAAGUUUGCCAAAGAUUGGCCAGGUGCAGUGGCUCACACCUGUAAUCCCAGCACUUUGGGAGGCUGAGGUGGGCGGAUCACCUGAGGUUGGAGACUAGCCUGGCUGACACAGCAAAACCCCAUCUCUACUAAAAAUACAAAAAUUAGCUGGGUGUGGUGGUGCGUGCCUGUAAUCCCAGCUACUUGGGAGGCUGAGGCAGGAGAAUCGCUUGAACAUGGUAGGCGGAAUUUGCAGUGAGCUGAGAUCGCGCCAUUGCACUCCAGCCUGGGUGACAAGAGCAAAACUCCACCUCAAAAAAAAAAAAAAAAGUUUGCCAAAGAUUGGUACCUCAGUCUCUGGAUGCUUUGAUUUCUUGAACAAAUGCUCAGUCUCCACCCAGACCCCACUGGUACCUCCCAGCCCUCUAGUCUUUCUCCAAGAGGCAUCUAGGUAUGCAGAGUUGGAAUUGGCUGGAUCACCAGGGCUCUUGAUGACCUCAUGGAGGUAAAGUUGAUUAUGAAGUUUGUAAUGUAUAAAUUGUAAAAUAACGAGCAGCUUAUUUAGAAGAUCAUAAAAGCAAGAAUAGCCAGGAAGCCUCUGCUAAACAUGUGUAACAGGAAUGGGAGAAACGGAAAAAUAUUACAAAGCCUCUGUGGUUAAACCAGUGUGGUGUUGGCACAUAAAUAGACACACAGACCAAGAAACAGACUAGAACAUCUAGAACAAGAUGCAAUUGCUUAUGGAAACUUAGUAUAUAAUAAAAGAGCCAACUCAAAUCAGUGGAGAAAGAAGGACAUUUUUUAAAGUGGUUUUAGGGCCAGGCAAGGUGGUCUUAUGCCUGUAAUCCCAGCACUUUGAAGAGGCUGAGGCAGGAGGAUCCUUGAGAACAGGAAUUGGAGACCAGCCUGAGUAACAUAGUGAGACUCCAUCUCUACAAAAAUAAAACAUAAAAAUUAGCCAAACCUGGCGGUGCACACCUGCAGCUCCAGCUACUCAGGAGGCUGAGGCAAGAGCCUAGAAGUUCAAGGACGUAGUGAGCUAUGACCCGCCACUGCACACCAGCUUUGGCAACAGAGUGAGACUCUGUCUCCAAAAGAUAAAAAAGAAAAAAGUGGUUUUAGGGUAUCUGGAUAGUCAUGCAGAACAAUAUAACAUGGACUCCAUUCUUCACAUGGUACACUGGGAUAAAUUCCAAAUCAGAGACUUACGUGUGCAAAAUUAAGCCCUACAACUAAUAGAAGAAAACAUGAGUGUAAUCCUUUGAAACUUUUGCACAGAGAAAACUUUCCUAAGGCUUAAAAUCCUGAAGCAAUGAGAGAAAAAGAUUGAUAAAUUUGUUGACAUUAAAACAACUGUGCAUGGCCAAAAACCCAUAAGCAACAUAUCACAUACUGGGAAAAAUAUUCUAGACAAAGGGUUAUCAUCCCUAAAUAUAUGAGUAGCUUCUAAAUUAAAGAAGAAAAAGGCCAACAAGUUGAUAGAAAAUUGGACUAGAGAAAUAGACAAGUCAUAGAAAAUGAAAUCCAAAUGGCCCUUAACCAUAUGAAAAAAUUCCCAGUCUUCCCUAUAAUAAGAAAACUGUAAAUUAAAACUCACAAAGAUACAGCCGGGCGCGGUGGCUCACGCCUGUAAUCCCAGCCCUUUG
rnacentral:lncRNA from 1 species